UGCCGGAUGGGGUAAUGGCAGCCCGCCUGGUUCUGGCCCAGGUAGUCUAGGUUCGAGUCCUAGUCCGGCAG
rnacentral:tRNA from 1 species